rnacentral:sRNA from 1 species
CCGUUUCAAUUUGUUGUGGACUGAUAAAAUGAAUGUGGGUAUCAAUACCCCCGGCUGUUAUAAUAUUACCUUCGCCACCAUGUACCUCAGUUGAUGCUCCAAUGAUUAAAUUAGGAUUUACACCUUCCAUAGUAUCUGGAUUACCGGCUUUUCCCACACCUACAAUUUUACCAUCCCUGAUUCCAAUAUCUCCCUUUACAAUUCCCCAGUGGUCAAUAAUCGUAGCAUUAGUAAUUACAAAAUCAAGCACUCCCUGAUCGCGUGUUGCUGUUGAUGAUUGAGCCAUUCCGUCACGG